rnacentral:rRNA from 1 species
GAUGAACGCUGGCGGCGUGCCUAAUACAUGCAAGUCGAACGCUGAAGGAGGAGCUCGCUCUUCUGGAUGAGUUGCGAACGGGUGAGUAACGCGUAGGUAACCUGCCUGGUAGCGGGGGAUAACUAUUGGAAACGAUAGCUAAUACCGCAUGACAACAGUUAUUGCAUGAUAACUGUUUAAAAGGGGCAACUGCUCCACUACCAGAUGGACCUGCGUUGUAUUAGCUAGUUGGUGAGGUAACGGCUCACCAAGGCGACGAUACAUAGCCGACCUGAGAGGGUGAUCGGCCACACUGGGACUGAGACACGGCCCAGACUCCUACGGGAGGCAGCAGUAGGGAAUCUUCGGCAAUGGACGGAAGUCUGACCGAGCAACGCCGCGUGAGUGAAGAAGGUUUUCGGAUCGUAAAGCUCUGUUGUAAGAGAAGAACGAGUGUGAGAGUGGAAAGUUCACACUGUGACGGUAUCUUACCAGAAAGGGACGGCUAACUACGU